AUCAAACAAUUAAUGUCAAAACUAUAAAAAUAUAAAUAUUAAUAGUAAUAUAAUGAGGUGUACAAAGUCAAGGGACCUUGAUCAAACUUUGAAUACUAUUAAGGUUUUAAUCAAAGAAUGUUAAGGGUUAGAGACCGUAUCCAAAAUAUCCCGUAAAAUAAUGGAUGGAUAUAUUAUAACGAAGUUACCCACAAAGACUUUUGCUACAAAUCGUAAUAAGUAAUUUAGAGAGGAAUACUCACGAGUUUUUAGUUUAGGAACAUUUAACUAAUUAAGAUCCCGGGAUCAUUAUUGCUCCAAUUAAACCAUAUAUUUGUGUAUAAGCUAGUUUUAAUAGGAAUAUGUUUGUAUUUACUUCAUCUUAAACAAUAUAUAAUUGAAUUAAUGGGUUAUAUUGUCUUUCUCAUGACAUAUGGAGGGUAGCAUAUUUUUACACAACUGAAAUAUGGACUGCUAAUUAACGUUGAAGGCAAGGUUAAGAUUCUAGCACAUAUAGAUGGCUAGAGUGAUGCAUGCAAUUAGUUUUGGCCCUUUUACAUGAUCAAGGGUCAAUGGCAAGGUGAAAAUAAGGUGAUGUUGGAAAAUAAGAACUCUAGGUCUCCUCCUCCAUACAGUUAAGUAAUUUACCAUACUACGGUUCAAAUAACUUGAUCGAUUCCCUCUCUACCUUAAAAUUUGAGAAGGUAGCUAGAAAAUGGCUUAUUGUAUAUUAGCUAAUUAAGGGUAUGCAAUGCAAGGUUGAUCUGACAAUGAAUAUGAGGUUUAUGCAAGGGACUGUUCGCUUGACAAGGUUUUGCAUGGAAUGUGACACCCCAAUCGAUCGCCAACCCUCUCUUAUCUGUCAGUUUUCUAAUUGUCCCCAUUACUGCCACACCAAUAUACUGUCUUCACCGAACAUGGCGUACACCAGCCCAGGCAGCACCUGCUAUCCCGGGAUGGCAAUGAGGCGGAUCGGGUUCGGAUGUGCCAUCCUCGUACCCGAACUCGAAACCGUAGAAUCCCCAAACAGGUUUUCCCCAUAACCAAACCCAUUGGGUAACGAAUUUUCUUUCAGGCAACGGUUUUUCCCAUUAUAAUAUUUUUUAUAUUAUUAAUUAAAUAGUAAAUUUUAAAUAAAAAAUUAAAUAGAUUACUGAUACAAUGCAUAUACAUCAUAUAUUCAAUAAGAUUAAAUAUUAAAUACUAAAUAGUGUUAUUAAUACAAUUGAUACAAACAAUGCAUGUGAUAAAUGGAAGAGGAUCCUCUCCUGAGCUCAGGAUGGGGAUCCUCCUGACCAGUCCAUCUGGGCCGUUCAAACUUAAUCUAACGGUUGCAAUUAUUAUAACUUUUAGAGGGUCUGCCUGUUUGGAGCUGUUGGAUUAAAUUUGAACGACCCAGAUGGGUUGGUCAGGAGGAUCCUCAUCCUGAGCUUAGGAGAGGAUCCUCUUCCGUAAUAAAUAUUGUUAAAAACGAGAUUAAUACUAUUAAUAAUUGAUAAGAAUAUAAUUUAUAUUAUUAAUGAUUAUUGAUAACUCUCUUCUCUAUAUAAUAAAUAUUGAUAUUUUUGUAUUAAUUCAAAACCAGUUCGGUUUUGGGUAUAGGUUCGGGGCGGAUACCCCAAUAACCAUAACCAAACCCGAAACCAAAAAAUUUACAUGACGGUUACCCAUAACCGUAAAAUACCAGAAAUUUAAUCCCCAAAACCAAACCGUUCGGAUCGAUUACCUACAGAAAAUGGGUUUGAUGGGUCAAAUUGCCAUCCCUACCCGUAUGGCUAAAUAUAUAAUAGCUGAUUUAAUUUGUUUUCAAUGACCCAAGCAAAGCCCGUGGAUGACACGAUACAAGCAAUCUGGUCUUGGCUGGCAUAAACAGGCCAAUAUGGUAAGUAACUGGUGUGGAGCAAAAAAUAAUUCAGAAAAUUCUGGAGCUGACACGUGGACUUUUAUUCACAAUUGACUAGAAUGUUCUUUAUUAAAUUGGCAAUGCCCACAUCCGUUCCACACGCAGUUCAACUACAAACUAAAGAUAUAACUAAUAACUAGUUAAUUCCUACCUUUAAGCUUUCCUCAUUGAAGACAGGUCAGCCCUAGCUAUUCUACACGCUUAGGCAUCAUAUGUUCAUUGUCCCCGUCCCCCACCCCCCCCCCCCUUCCCCGUAUGUGGAGCUGCUGCUACAACAAGUAGUUCAUUGUCCCCAUCCCCACCCCCCCCACCCCCCACCCCCCAUCCUCUCCUCCCCCCUCCCCCCCCCCACCCCACAAAACACUGAGGAAUCAUAUGUCCCCGUAUGCGGAGCUCUUUCUGCACACUCCCUCUUAGUUAUGGUCUUUAAUUGUCGUACAAUCCAUAUAGGCCUCGUAUGUGGAGCUGCUCUGCCUACUUGUUCUCAUCAUGUACGAGAGUUGUAUGUAUCAAUCACAGAUGAUGAUGCAAGUAUUGUCCUUAUUGAUAUGUACAAUAAUGAUGUGCAGGAAAAGGAAGUUUCCAUACCCAGAUCAUCGCAAGGCCAAGCUAUAUGAUGACCCACUUCUGUUCCCUAGCUUGCUACAUAAUAUAAUCUGGACUGGAGUAUACGUAGAACCUCAUCAGCUUGGAGCCUGGCAAGAUCUCUGAUGAGCAGAUUAUAUAUAUUGCUUAUCCAGCUAAUUAACUCUAAAAGAAACUUAUUAAACAGCUCAUGAUCAAACUAACACAAGUAAAGCUAUCUCCAGUUUUCUAUCGUUGAUCGAGAUGUUUAAGGAGAAUGCACAUACAGUUUCCGUUAUAAAAAUGUUGGUUUGAUUUCUAGCAACAUAUAUAGUAGGAAUAUGAUCUUCCAAGCCCUACAUAUGUAGGCUGAAGUUUUUCUUUGGGUUCUUUAGAUAUAAGCCCAUGCAAUACUUAUUUUCUUGACAAAAACUCAUUUCGUUUUAAACAUCCAAAUAAAACCUAAAUUUGAAAUAAACUGUCAUGUAAAUAAAUAAAUACCUAUUAUUUUCAAAAUAUUUACAAUUGUGCCACAACACCCUAAUUAUGUUGAUGAAUUUAAUUAUCCACCAUAAUCAUGGCAAAUAAGUGCUUUAUUAUUACAAAAGUAUAUGCUUUAUACUUGUCUUACCAUCAUCUGUUCCAUUCGUAUAUUUGUUUGACAAUCAUUUUAGGUAUGGUAAAUUAUUUUGCAUGUAUACAUUAGGCACAUUUUGUUAUUAUUAUAUCUGUGUGAAAUAAAUUACCUAUGUUUUUAAGUAGAAUAUAGGUAAUUAAUAAACUUUGAAUCAAUUGGCUAAAAACAUCCUUGCAUUUUGUAGGUAAACUAUUUUGCAUGUAUUAUUACAUAUACUAGGCACAUUUGUUAUUAUUAUGUGUUGUUUGCAAUCAAUCAACAUUCAUUUAUUCUGUAGGUAAAUUAUUUUGCAUGUAUUAUUACAUAUGUUAGACACGUUUUGAUAUUAUUAUUGGUAAUUUUGACUAAAACAACAUUUGUAUAUUUGUGAAAAAUACUAAUUUACCUGUUACAAUUAUUUGAAAAGGAAAAAAAAAUGCUCAUUUUACAUAAAUGAGAAAACAACUAUAUAAGGAAUCAAAACUCUAAUAUCAUGUAAUUUUUGUUAUUAAUAUGCAUUGGAAAUCAAGACACUAAAAUUUUUCUUUUCCAAAUAUGCAUAAACGUUUUAAAAUGUUUAAUUGAAUGAAAUAAUAUAAAAUAAAUGUAGAUAACAAGUAAUAGACCCAAAGUCAAUGAUAUUAGGGGUAAUUUUGACAUCCAAAAAUACCAAUUUUGCCAAGUCAUACUUAAUUAUGGAUAUUGCUUGGUUGGAGCCUAGUCAUUGGGUUUUUAUUAGAAAAAUUUUACAAUUGUGGGUUUUAGUUAAUAAAAAUUGAAUUCUAAGGGGUAUACUCAUAUUUUCAGUAUAGGUCAAAUUAAGUUUAUGUAUAAUGCAGUAUUGAAGAAGUUGAGGUUCCAUUAUAAAACUACGUGGCAAUAUAUGGAGAAGGCCAACUACUUAUAAGCGCAUACAAUAUAGAGAGAAGUCCAACAAAAACAUGAAAAACCAAAAAAAAAAAAAAAAAAAAACCUCCAAAAGGCUAAUUGGUUUUUUUUUUGUUCAAGUUGCCAACGAGGUGUCUCAUCUGAAACCUCCAAAGCAAGAAAUAAGCCAAUCCCAACCCGAUCAAAACGAAGAUCCAAACACCGUCUUCCUUGCUCUCCUGAGUUUGACACGAGCACAUCUAGUAUUCGACCCUCGGAUUCUAUCGACAUUUCAGAAUCACACGAGCACAGCCUUUUGUAAUAAUACCCUAGUUCCCUUCCACAUCAGCAGAUAUUUUUAUAUUGAUGAAUCCACAUGGGAUAAUUUACCUUAUUCAAUCAUGCAUGCAUCCUACAAUAUUUAAACAAACAAAUUAGUUUGAGUGGUGUGAUUUUCUUUCCACACGAGUUCGAACUCCUUUUUAAUAAUUUAAACGAGUUUACAUCACUUGCAUAUAUAAAAAAAAUCUAGUGUAUUUAUUGUCCAAAUAUCAUGAAAUUUCGGCCAACCAUCAAGGGGUACUUUCAAGAAAUCUGUUAAAAGAGAACAAAUUAAGGUGUAUAUAAUCAUCCGAAGCAAAAAAGUAACAUGAAACAAAUGAGUGGAAAGUGAGCUAGCUAAUGAAUUAAAGGUAAUUUUAGAAAGAUUGAUUAUUUAAAUUAAAUUUUGUAAACUAUAUGAAGUGAUUGUUGACGAUUGAAUUAUUAUUUGAGUGUGAUUAAUGUGUUUAUUUACUAUCCCUGACACAACAUAUAAUUUACCAAUUGAGAAAUAUUUAGGAAACUUUUUCAAAGUGAGACUCUUCGUGAACUCUCUAUCACCUCACAGUUUAACGUUAAUUCUCGUACCAAUACUAUCAAAUAUUGUAUAAAAAAACAUAAGAUAAAAGAGAGUCUAUGAAGAUUCCCACUUUUGAAAGUUUACUUAGUAUUUCUCUUAAAAUUUAGUCCGAAAAACUAAUAUGCUUAGCAUUACUUGUGAAUUAAUCAAAAGCUAUAAAGUAAGUGGUCCACCGCGUUAAAAGUUUUACAUGAAUGUCGGACUAUAUAUGUUGUCCUAAAUCCCUAAUGUGACAGCUGAUACAAUUUACACCGUCCGUUGAUCCUAUAUCAAUGAAUCUUACCUAUAAUUAACUAUUUAUUAUGAGAGGGAAACACAACAAUUAAAUAUCGAUUAGUCAAUGAUCUGUCACGUGUAAAGUUUUAGCUGACAUGAAGAUCCGUAUAGAAUUCGCACGCUCCACCAAUGAUUUGUAAUUGAAAGUGAUAAACCAUGGAAAGGUUCCUUCUUAUCUCUAUAAAAUGAAGCUCAAACCAGCAGCUGUAUUGCACCUCCCAGUUAGGUCUCUUGCUCAAAAGACCACGUUCUUCUCCCUCCCUUCUUCCGCUUUGACAAAAUAAAGAAAUCUAGAACAAGUCAACAAAUAUAUAUGAUCGAGGAUCGCGGAUGUGUUGAUGUGUUUUGAUAUGGGUGAGUGGAUUUCAUGCUAUGCUUGUCAAGUGAGCAGUACCUUUGCAAAUAAUCUUAGUUUCGUUGUCUGUUCGACCUGAAACCUAAGGUAAUUAAAGGUUAGGCAUAGUACCCUUGAAAACCCUAAUUAGAAAGUAAUCAUGUUUUUUCUCUUUCUAAAUUAAUCAACUUGAUUGAUCAUCUAAGAAGUUAAACAAGGCAGCUUAUUAGUAGAUAACUAGCUAUUUAUUCUGUGUCAUCUUGGAGUAUGACCUAGUAGUUGAUCGAGAUCGACUGCAGUAACCUAUAAAUUUAUUGAGUUAUGCAUAAAACAGUCAUUAAACUAGAACGGAAAAAAAAAGCAAAAACUCCCAAGCUAAUCCAGUUUAUAUAUAUGCGUUUAUCAGAUUCAUUUGGGAAGUGGUUUAGGUAUCUUUUGGCUUUCCUUCUUUUCCUUUUGAAAUAUGAAGAAGAAAGAAAUUGAAAGAAAUAGUAAUAGGCUGGCUAUAAGUUGCGAAGUACCACUUUUGUGGUAAUUUAACAUCAUAAUUUUGAUAAUCGUUGGAAUUUUACCCUAGUUAUUGCGGCUGCGGCCACCAACUUUCUAUUUUCAGGUGUAUGUGGGUUAUACUAAUUGAAUUGGAUUUGAAACUAAUCUAGUUACCAAAUUAGAUAAAGCUACUUAUUACACUAAAGUAGUAUUUCCUUGGUUUCGAACUGUAGAAUGUAAUUAGCAUGAGCCGUAUAAGCAAGUCCUUAAUUAAUUAGAAAAAUAAUGUGGUUUAGGGUUUACCUAGUGGUGACUAGCUAGCCUGCUACCAUAGAAUGUUGAUAGGUCGAAGAGACAGCGAGCCUGAGGAAUAAGCAAGAGACUGUUCAUUUGACAAGGGUUUGCAUGGAAUUCAACAUCUUGAUUCUUGACCUUAUGUUUGCAUAUGAAGUUUAUUAGGAAGCGGAUCAACUUUCAUCAGAAAGGUGAUUAUGCCCAGAUAAUUCACUUCGUCUCUCUUAGCCUAAUCUAAUCAACUUUUCUUUCUUUCUUCAAAUUAAUAAAUUUAAUGUUUCUUGACAAAUUUCAACAUGUGAUUUGUGAUGAUGCAUGGAGGCUCAACUCACAGUGAAGGGACGAUGGAGGAUCAUGAUCAGUUGCUACUUAGAGGCUCGAUUUGAUACAAAUGCCAAGAUUUGGAGCAAACAGCGAAGAGUCAACGGUUCACUACUAUAUAAUUACAUUGACAUUAUUUCCCAGCUUGCAUUAUAUAUUACUUGCAUAACACAAUAAAUAUUGUGGAGUUUGUAUCAUAAAAUGUCUCGAUGUAAUUAGACAUGAAACAACUAAACAUAAGUCAUUCGAUUUUGUUAAUAUUCCAAUGUGAAAUUCUUGUAUUUUUAUUUUGUUACCAGUAUAUAAUGUGAAAUUCAUAAACCUUUUUUA